AGUUCCCCCCCAUCCAGGGGCUGCAGGGUGGCUGUUGGUUCUGGUGCAGCCCCUUUUGCACCAACUCUGGCAGCAUUUGGUGCAUUUUGUUCCCUGUAGUAAUGCUUGAGCCCUGAUUGUUUCCAGUUUCUUCAGCACUGGGUUCUGGCAUUUCUGAGUAAGGUGUGAAUAUGUGAAUUUAAACUUGAAUUUGGAGCAAUGCAGAACAGGAGGAAGAAAAUUUUUCAUAAAGGUUGCCCUUACAACGAAGGGAAGAGCUGGAAGAACGAAGACCGUCCCAGCCUGGCAGCGCAAAAACUGCUGACUCAGCUAAGCCGUGCUGGCGCCACAUUCGUGAAGUCACUGUGGAAUGAGGAGGAGGAGGAGGAAGAGGAGGAAGGAUCACUGCCUGCUGCAUCACCGCCUUUCCUCCCUCGUAGCUCUUCUCCUGUCUUUGGCACUGAGAUUUGGGGAUGAUGUGUCCUGCCGUAAGGGGGUGCAGUACGAUGGAGGACACCCAGGUCCCAGCACGGCGCAGGAUGCAGAGCGGCAGGAGCCAGCAGGGGACACAGCCAGCGCGGCCGUAUGAGUUCCUGGAGCUGCUGGUUCUGUAAGUCAUCUCUGGUGGAAAUCCAGGGGAGCAGCCACAUGGUCAUUUAUUGUGUGUACAGCAGCAACCCAGAGCCCACCGUCUCCCGGGGGCUGGCGCGGGAGGCUCCUCGUGCCGGGAGGUGUGCCGCGGAGUAUGGAUGCCCGGUCACCUGAAAGCUGGGCAGGCGAUGUCACGCGAGGAGACUUCUGGCCCUGGUUGGCUUGGGAGCGUGUUCCCCCAGCGUGGUCCUGCUGGGAGGCAAGGGCUCUGCGGCUGCCGGCGAAACUCUCCUGCUGUGCACCCCUUGCCACCACGUGUAAGCUGGAGCGUGGCAGAAAGCACAACACUGUGCUGCAAACCCAUGAGGCAGCUGGGGAGUGCAGCGGGUGGGCCCAAAAUGAGGUACCUGCUAGACGUUCACAAUGAAAUCUGAGCCAUUCUGUGGUAAAAAUAAAUCAGGAGAGAGGCUUUCCUUCCUCCUUAGCAGUGAUGGGGAUUGUUUCCUUGAGCGCGUGCUGGAGCUCUGAGGGACAGGAAUGCAGCAUUGACCGGGAACCAACUGGUCUGUCUGAGCAUCUGCUGCACGAGGAGAUGAGUUACCAGCUCAUAUGUCUGGGAUUUCUUAUCAGGUGCCUCCAUUUGCAUUACCGCCAGCUCCCAAAAGCACAGGCAAUAUUUUAUUGCCAUGGUUGAGUUUGGCAGGUACCAUUAUCAGUGACACCAUCUGUGUCCCUUCACUUACCUGCUUGCAGUCAGGCUCCUCCUACCAUGCUGGAGAUUUCACUUGUUGGGGGAGAAAUAAAGCUUUAAUUGCACACUCCAAGGUGCGCCGGGGCCGUAUUGGUGUGGAGAAUUCCCGCUGGCUCCCACUCUCUGCUCCAUCCCCUGGGCUGCCGUGAGCUCCUUUCUCUGGUUUCCUGCCACGAGCGUUGUGUGACAACAGGCUGCAGGCUGAGCUGGGGAACCGCAAGCCACAAUACAACACAAAUAACACACCUUCCAUUUUUCUGGCCUUUUCUGUUGAGAGUUGAGCUCAAAUGUCCCAUUAGUCCGGUAAGAGGUGGGGCUACCCUGAGGAAAGCAUGGGCUCCAUAGACAGUGGAUGGAAGGAAUAAAACUCUCAUUUUAGAUUGCACAUUGCCUGCUCCUCGCUGCAGUGCUCUGUCUGCUGGACCGUGCAACCUCUUGGGCCUGCGAUUAGUUCUCUCCAAUAGCAAAAGACUUAAAGGCAGUGUUGCCCUGUACAUCACCCGUUCAAUGAGGACAGUGCCCAUGUCGGCCUGCAAUGCUCUGCGAGUUUGUGCCACUGGCUCAGCUCUUGCCUAGUGAACCUGAAAAAAGGUGCAGGUCUUUUCACUGCACUGUUGUAUCUGCUGGAUUUCACACAGUGUCCCCGGGCUGCUUGGGAGGCAAGAUAGGCACAGCAUGAACCAGGCCCUUGCAAAAUAAAAGAGCAAAGGUGACACUGGGGUCGUCCUUGCGAACCCUGCUAAUGCUGGUCACUGCCUUUCUGGUAGCUAGAACAGCAAUGAGGAAGAAACACUCUGCUUAAGAGCUGAGAGGGAAGAGUCCCCUCAAAGCAGCAUUUUAAUAGGGAAGGCUGAAUUAAAUGUGAAGGAAGUUUUGCAGUAAUUCUCUCACAAAUUGUUCUGGAUAUGUAAAUAGUGCAUGGCCAGCCCAUAUUAGCCGCAUAGGAGUCUUUAUUAUAGACUGAGAAGAUUCAGUGGUAGAGCAGGCAUACUUGGUAGGAUUAUACCCAUUAAGGAAUGAUUGUACCCAUUCUACAGAUGAGCAAUGUAGAUGCUUAAGUGGGUUAUUUUACUUGUUUUACUUAGUAAAUGUUGGAAGGUUUUGGUAAUUUGGAAUCCUUGCUCUUCCCAGCAGUAUCUCCUGUGUUUCCCUAGUACAGGGGCACACCAAGCAUUUUGCCUGGACAAUACAGGAGAAAAGGAAAAGUGGAGGGUUUAAACUUGCUAACUAGAAAUCCUGCCUCGCUGUUACCUGGAAGAACCUGGUGCCUGGAGAUAUCUUGGCUAACAAGCACAUGGCAAGAUUUAGAGAAGAAUUAGGGGGGGGGGUUUGUAUGGGUAGCAAAAUGGGACAGCCUUCAUGGUUCAGACUUAAGAAUAAUUUUGUAUAGGAAGAUAAUUCAUUUGUAGGGAAGAAAAUUUCCCAGCAGGUUUUUCUGCAGCAUUUCUUACACAUUCCCCUGGAGAAGCUGGUGUGUGCUAGAUCCAUCAGCAUUCGUCUUGGGUCACGGUGGCACUCCUUGGGUCUGAUGCUUAAGAGCUUUGCUCUGUUGCCUUUACAGCCCACAAUGGAUUUGCCUAGAGAAGAGCAUUGCACCGGCAUAUAUUGAGGUGUGACUCCAAAAUGCUGCAUUUAAUAUUGUCAAAGACCCCUGGAAAAUAAAACUCGAGUGUGCAUCCAGUCUGUUCCCCUGAUAAUUGCGCAUUCGUUGGCUAGUAGUAGCUUCGGGCAGGUUACAGCAGGAGGAUGGACUUAAAUAUAUUUAGGUUAAAAUUACUAGUGUAACUACAGAAGUUUCUUGUUUGGACAGUCCCUAUUUAGACAGGGAAACAAGGGAAGUGGCGGUGAGCAGAACAGCCUGGGCGGUAGUGUGUAAACGGCUGUUGCUUCUCAGCAUGGAAGAUCACCAUCAUCCUUCCUUGUAACUCGGGCCUGUGCUUGGUGAAGAGACUCGUGCAAGUAAGGCAGAGGAGAGGGUCCUCUUAAUGGUUGGAUCCAUCACUGCCUUAGUGCAUGUAAUUAUUUGGAAACAGAUGUGAUUGUGGCUGUCUCCCGUAGUCCUAGGCAAUAUUGAACAAGUCAUCUACAUAGCAGUGACUGUACGUAUGGAAUUACUCCAGCUAUGUGGAUGACUGGGCACUUAUGUAUAUAAAUCUGCAAAUGUGGAGUAGGUUAUAAAAUUUAUGAGUGCUUUAGCCCUUAUAAAUUUUUAUCAAGUGUGGCCUUUAAAACUGAGGUUCUUUAUUAGUGUUACAUGCAUGUUUUCUUUAUUGUUAACCCUCUGCUCCUCCUUUGCCUUAUAGGGGGAAAAAAGAGAGAAAAUAAAUGCUAAAAGGAAAGGGAAAGAGAAGAUUUAGUUCACUGGAUAAAUGUAGUUUAACCAGUGUUAACCAUUGAUUAAGGCCUGAUAUUAAAGAUUAUAUAAUCCAGCUGAAAGGAAUCUGGCAGAGAAUGUUCCCAUUAAAUUCUGACAGCCUAAAGGCAGUAUUGGCGAAAUAAAACAUUUAUCAAAUAAAUCUCUGUUUACUAGAGGUAGGAUGAAAAUCUAUUGCUUUUGCUGCCAGAACUAAGAAUAUAAGACAUGGUGGUGCUGCAAUACACUGGAUGCACAUUUUGAGGAAGGCAAUAGUAGCUGGACCCUUUCCUCCUGCAUCUCAGUACCUUUUCUCCUCUCUUUCCAUGGUGGGGAUGUCCUCGCUCCUCCCGUGCUUUCUUUGCUCUCACAGAGUGCAGUCUUUUUCUUUCCUUUUUUUUUUUAAAGAAGGAAAAGUUGCUGUUAGGAUUAUGUCCUAUUACCUAAAGUGCUUGUUCUGCUACAUGUACACGUAAAUUUAAUUAUAUUGGCCAUAUGAAAGAUGCAUGAAGGUUCACUUUUGGGAAGUAUGCCAAAGACAUCUUCUGAAUGUGUAGCUGUUUGAUGUAGGCUUCUGCAUGGUAAUUGAAUUACUGAUCAAGUACUGUAUCAAUGAAAUAAUCUUGGUAAAUUCUGUGUACUUAAGUAACUAUAGCCUCAAGGCUGUGGUAACUGAAGUAACCCUGCUAUUGAUUUUUUUGUUGAAUGUGCGUAUUUUACAUGUUUUAAUAAAA